rnacentral:rRNA from 1 species
AGGACGACGCUGGCGGCGUGCUUCAGACAUGCAAGUCGAGCGGGCGGAGGUCGAACCGCAAGGGGAGGCUGAAGCUAGCGGCGAACGGGUGAGUAACACGUGGGUAAUCUACCCGGAAGACUGGGAUAACGGCCCGAAAGGGCCGCUAAUACCGGAUAAUAUCGCGGUCUCGCAUGAGGCUGCGAAGAAAGGCGAAAGCCACUUCGGAUGAGCCCGCGACCCAUCAGCUAGUUGGUGAGGUAACGGCUCACCAAGGCGACGACGGGUAGCCGGUCUGAGAGGAUGGUCGGCCACACUGGGACUGAGAUACGGCCCAGACUCCUACGGGAGGCAGCAGUCGGGAAUAUUGGGCAAUGGGCGAAAGCCUGACCCAGCGACGCCGCGUGAGGGAAGAAGGCCUUCGGGUCGUAAACCUCUGUCAUCGGGGACGAAGGAAGUGACGGUACCCGAGGAGGAAGCCCCUGCUAACUACGUG